UCUUGCUCUCGCACGCAAGCCUCCCCUCGUCGCCUCUCCUCUUACGAUCUCUCUCCCCCCGCGACUCCUCGCCGCCGCCGCCACCACCCAUGUGCCGUCUGAUUCCGGCGAGUCCCGGCGGCGGGUGACACACCAACGACCUCCCUUGGCCCCAUUCCUUGGUCCCAUCCGUCCAAAUCCGUCGCUAUAGGCCUUCUGCCCUCGCUCCUGACCCUUGGCCAUGGCUAGGGUCUCGCGCGCGGCGUCACCUUCGUCGUCGGCGAGGCUCUGGCGGGUUCCGGCGGCUCGUCUCAACGCGUGGCUCCGCCUCAUGGAGCGCUGCAGCGCGGACGAGAAGGUGGAGGGCGGCGGUCGCCGUGGCGAAGGAGGGGCGGCGCUGCCACAGAGGAGAGCGACGAGGGUUGCGGCGUCGCUGCAGAUGAUGAGGAGGAGAGCCACUGCACCACGCGAUUCCACGUGAUCCUCUCAUCUUCAGGCUGAAAAUCCUCUGUAGCAUCCACUGAAAUUUUCUAUAAAGGGCUACAUCAUCAAACACAUUAACCUACGCGUAAGGGGCGCCCUCUCGCGAUAGCCACGUCGAAUUUACUGUGCUGAAGGCGACAAAGUUAAAAACGCGUCGACCCAUCGAUCAUUGCUCUCGCAUGCAAGCCUCCCCUCGUCUCCUUAUUUCAAUUGCAUUUCAGUUGAUGCACAAUAUGUGAUACUUUAGACGACACUACAGCGAACUAUUUCAUUUGUUAUGCCCCUUAUUGUAUUUCAGGCUCAGACAACUAAAAGAGGAAGUUCUUGCAAAAAAGAAAACUAGAAGAGGAAGUUGCUAUGGUUGGUGUGGCUGAGAAACUACGGCAUAAAAGAGCAGAAGUGGCCUGAGUCUUCAUGUUCUUUGCAGGAUCCUUUCUUAUUUUUUUCCUCAAAGAGGCAUACCCGACCGCAGUGAGGAAGGAGGGCUUCGGUCGGCUAUUCGGCGGCCUCCCCUACCACUCAAGGUGAAGCCACCUCCUCCCUCUCUCUUUACUACCUUUUUUCUGCCUUUCACUGCUGACGGUCUCUCCCCUGUUCGGUCCAGUAAGAAAUGAUCCUUUUUCUGGGAGGGCAGCAGAUCUAGAAACAAGGAUUUAUUUUGCAAACAAAUCGAUGGGCAAUGCAUUGUGUACAACAUCGGGCAGGAAGCAGACCCAUAAAUUUUACGCUUUUUAUUAUUUUCUGUUUUAAUGAAACCUAUUAGAUAAAUGUGAAGUUGAAAUCCUGCAGCUUAUGAUGAAUGGGGAUCAGGUGUUAGUUUGGUUGUCAGAUCAUUUGCAUGAUGUCAACUUAUUAUAUUAUGCUUAUUAUAGGCGACGUAUCAAGUAUUAGGCGUAGUAGUAAAAGCAGAAGAAAUAAUCUCUCAGGUUACAAGAAAGUUAGUUUUUCAGGUGUGCAUGCUGAUGUGAGGUUUAUAUACAGAGUGAAAAGGAAGUGUUGAUAAAAUCCAUUCAUUCAUUGGCCUGCAUGCAUCACCUAUUCAAGUGUCACAUGGGAGCUCAGCUCGUUUUUGAAAGGAAAUUGAUCUGGUUGCACUACAAUAAAUAGUUAACACCUUCAUUGAGGUGCCUGGCAGCGUACUGCAUGAAUUAGUGCAAUUUUGUAAAUUUACUUCUGGAAUUGCCGAACAACCUCAAGGUUGGCUACACAAUAUAUUUUUUUAGUGUAAAUGUGAUUAAUUUCCAAACACUUCAGCAAAAAAAUCCAGCAUCGAGAAAAGUGUUACCAUUACUAAAUUAGGCCCUUUUGGAUAAAUACGAACUUAGCUAGACAGACUCAUAUAAAGUAAUGUUUUUUUAUUGUUGCCCCAUAGAUUCUUGGUAAUCAAUUCAGGAUGAUAUAAUUUUAUAGCUUGGCGUCAGGAAUUUAUAGUUCAGAUUAAAUUCCUGACGUAUAAAUGUAUAAAACCAUGUUAUAUAAUUCCACAGUAUUAGAUGCUCAAUAUUGUUCUUGCCAUGAUGUAUAUUAAAUGUGGUUGUGUUUUUAUCCGUCCCAUUUUCAGAUCAGGUUCUGGUUGAUGUGUAGAGCUAUUUCCAUCCCAACAAAUGUCUCUCAGAGAUCUAUCUGCCUACCAUGAUUUGAGUGCUGAACUAUUAUCCGGGUUCCUUGCAGAAAAAAUCAAUGAUAUGAUUGUUCAUGUUAAAUGGUCUUGCCUUUCUUCUUCUUAUUUCACUGUACAUCCUGAUCUAACACUAUCUGGAUAUAAUAUGUGCUUGUUGCUUGACUGGCACUUUACUUUUCUAUGCGGAAGGUACAUUACAGAAGAUGAUAGGAUACUUUCAAUUCUGCAUUAGCAUGACAAUAUCCAUGAUGUAAGCAGCUUUCAUUCAUAAGCAUCAAUCUGAAUAAUAAUAAUUCAGAAAUUGUUUUGAUUUUGAUAUGUUCCUGAUGCUUGUGGUUGGUUUGCCCCCAUUGUAGUGCUGACAUGAUCCUAUCAUACAUCGAAUAGCUUUUGGUUGGAUGGUAAACUGAGUGGACAAAAAUGACCUUGUUUUUUAUUUUGUCAAAUGAUAAUUUAAUGAGCUUAUGAUUCCUAAAAUGAAUAGUAUGGUAUUUUCAUCAUUAAAAUCCAGGCAACUAUUGAACUCCCUGGAAAGGGGUGUGUGUGUGCAUUGGGGCUAGAGGCACUGCUUGGGACCUAGUUGUAAGUGGGUGGUCCAUUUGUGGAGAGUUGUUGUGCCCUGUUGGAUGUGUUGCUAUGUGGUUAAUUAUUGCCUAUGUGGUUGGUCGUGUGAAUUUUCUAUUAGACUUGCAUCGUAUGUGAAUUAACACCGCCUUUCCCCUCAUGUAUAAAUCUUUCUUCUAACAAAAGAAAAUGAUGGCACCAUGACAAGGAAAAAUAUCUAGAGCCCACAACCCAGUGACCAGUUGAGAUAGGACUACUUAAGAAAUGGAAUUUUGAUUAUGUACGCCUACAAGGUAUUUGCUGAAAAUCCCAGAGGGCUGGCAGGGAAGGAGUGGUCUCUAUAAGCCAUGUGAUUCCAUUCUUCAAAAAAUUAGUACCAGCAAUCAUAGCAAGAUGAUUUUGAGAUUAAUAAGAAUCCAUGAGAUGAAUAAAAGUAUGAAGAAACAAGGAAUUCUGUCACAGGAGAAACUGUGGUACACCACUUCAACACGGCACAAGAGGCAGAUCAGGGCAUCUUCAAGGAUAAGGAAACAUCUGCAGACCUGAAGGUGGUUGGGAACUUGGGAUGUCCUUGCUAUUGGAGUGGUUCGCCGAAAAUUAUCGGCAGUUUGGUUGCACAUUGGAGCUUAUCACAAACAACACACAGGAAGGAUCUCAGUGUUGUACGGGCUAUGGUGGGAUAGGAGGGAUCCUGCACACCGGGUUGAGGUGAACGCUUAUGAAGACACACUUGAUGAGGAGUAUGAUGAAGACUUUGAAGACCAGUCAGCUGAAACUCCAGUGAAUUCAGUACAGGAGGAGCCUGUCCUAGCUCGGAACCGGAACGCGCCGUAGCAGGAGGCUGAGGCAUCUACAAGCUCAGCGAGGAAAGUUUAAGGAAGACGACGAGAAGACUUGAGAAAUGAUGAUAUAUAGCAUGCUGCUGCUGCUGCAUAAGUGAAGUCCUCUCAGCGUGAUUGGGAGGAAGACUGUAUUGCUGAUCUCCAUCAGAAGACUAUCCUAUUUAGUACUGUCAUUAUUAAUAAGAGGAAUCAUAGUUAUAAGUUACUAUUAAGUGUCUCUUGUGUGAUCUCGAAUUUGUGUGUUAAGUUUGUGCUUUAUUACUGUUGCUGCACCUGCGUCUGCAAUUCUGCAUCUGCUUAUCUGAACCGAAGUUGUGAUGCUGCCCUAUAUUUAUUUGAAAAUAAAAUCUAUUGUGCGUCUGUUGAUCUGAUAUGGCAAUAUUCCUGUUCAGUUGGCCUUGCAUUUUAUUUAUUUGCUACUGUAGUUUUUUUUGUGAGACAUUUUCCUUAGAAAAAAUAUAUGAAAUUGUGUGUAUUUUGUUUGAUCGUGAGGUUAUUUUAAGGUUUGCUUAUGUUCUCUUUGAAGGGAGUAAAUUGCAAAAAACCACCACAAUUGGGGACCCUAAUUCAGAAAACCACCAUCUUUCGAUUUUUUUUUCAAAUAACCACCACCAUUCUGCUGAUAGUUUUCAAAAAACACUGAUAGGUCACUAAACACAUGUUAACAACGUUUCUGGCAGAUGGGGGCCGAUGUAAGUGAUGAUGUGGCACUGAAAUCUUACGGUGUUUGGCCUGUACAGUAAACUGCACAUGGGACCCGCACGUCAGCCUCUAUACUUCCUCCUCCACAAGCGUUGACAGGGGGAAAUAAUCACACCUGCAUCUGACCGGCGCACCACCGGAUUCAGCCGCCGGCCGGCUCGCGAGCCUCCGCCUCCGUGAUCUCCCUCCACCUUGUCUAUCUAUGCUCCUGCACGCGAGCCGCAUCAGCGACCAUGCCCAGGCACGGGGGCGCGAGCAGCAGCGGCGGCAUCGACCAGGCACGGGGGCGCGAGCAGCCACGCAAGGGCACGAGCAAGUGCAGCGGCCACGGCUACGCACGGGGGCGCGAGCAGCAGCAGCAGCAGCCACGCACGGGGGCACGAGCUGCAGCACCGGCCGCGCCCAUGCGCGCGAGCAGCAGCACCGGCCUCGGGACGGGCCGCGAGCAGCAGCACCGGCCGCGCCCGGGCACGCGACCAUCAGCACCAGCCACGCCCGGGCACGCGACCAUCAGCACCGGCCACGCGACGGGCCGCGAGCAGCAGCACUAGCCGUGCCCGGGCACGCGACCAUCAGCAGCGGCCACGCAAGGCGGCUCGAGCUACCGCCUGCUACAGAGUACGGGCACGCCGCAGUGAUGGCAGGAACGCGAACUCUGCCCAGCGUCCCAACUACCCCGUGGGCGCCCUGGUCCGGCGCCGAGAUCCCUCAUGAGGGCCAUCUCCUUCCCCCCUAUUUCGCCGUUGCCCGCGACCUCCCGAGCACCAUGGCCGAGAGCACGAGCUCUUGGUCUGCCCCGCGCCCCGACUACCCCAUGAGCGCCUGGUCCGGCGCCGCCUCUCUGCCUGCGGCCGCGCUACCUCGCACUCAAGUCACUCGCAGCCCAUUCCUACACUGCCACUGGCGAGCUAGGCAGCCGACGGGAUGCCCUCUAGGUGUUUGAGGAAAUUACUCAACAGGACCUAACGUCCGUCUCCUCACUCUGUUUGGCAUAUGCCAGGUUGACCUGACAAUAGGAUCUACCCGUCAGAUUCGUUACCAAACGGCUCUAAUCAAUCGAUCAGUGUUUUCUGAAAACUGUCAGCACAAUCGUGGCGGUUAUUUGAAAAAAAAUCGAAAGGUGGUGGUUUUUUGAAUUAGGGUCCCCAAUUAUGGUGGUUUUUUGCAACUUACUCCUUUGAAGGUUUGCUUAUGUUCUCUUUGAUCCUUCCCGAAUGCGAAUAAGAAAAGAAAGUUGAAACAUGUUCACUAAUAUGUGUGCUUUGCAGGCUUUGUUUCCAUGUAGGGAUGUAUUUGAGUGUACACUUACCUGACUUUAUAUAGUGUGUCAUCUUUUGUUUAUGGCUAGAACUGCUGUAUCAAAUGUGCAAAUGGCACCAACAUCAUACAGUGGGCCAUGCCUGAUAGCUAUUGCUGUCAUUUCCCCUCCUGAAAUCAUCCUUUUCCUAUAUGUAGGAGGUUCAGUAAGGUUGCUCACCAAUGAGCUGGGAGUAUUUUUGUCCUGAGUACUUGCAUGAUUGAAAGAAGAAAUCAGGUAUUCCUAAAUGUGCUAUUGCAGAUCAAAGGUGAACUCAAACGAUUUUCUUACUUCAAUCUCAGUAGGCAAAGGAGAUGAAGCGCACGCGCAGUGCCAACGCCGCCGCCGCUGCCGGCGGAUUUUCUCUCGAGUCAGGGGAGGUGUUUGGGGGAUCGACUAGGAAGGAUCGAACGGCAGCUGGAGAAGACCUGCACAAGGGUGCCACCAGUCAUUAUGUUCUAGACCAAAUAGAUCGUAAUGCGAUCGAGUUGGAGAGGUGGAUUCAGACAACAGAUUCCUUCACAAAUUCAAAGGCAGAACUCAAAAAAGAAAGGGCAAGGAAAUGAAGGACGCAGGACUACUAGAGGCAAAGACAGACAGACGCGGCCGGAGCACUAUGACGGCUUUGAUGGGCGUGGAGGAGUGCACGAAGACGCUGCGGAGCUUGUCAGCAGGAGUAGCUGCUCCUGCUGCUGCAUCACAACCGCAUCCUGAUCUGCUUCGACAGGUUCGAGCCCUCCGUCACCGGCCGUGUGCACAUCUGGAAGGGUGUUGGAAAGGUGAUCAGUGUGAACAAGAUGGUCAGGGCCGGAUGCAAAGUGAAGAUCCUAAUAGUGGACUAGAGGCCUGGGCUGAAGGACUCCGCAAGAUCAAGGAGCAGCUGGACCACGACAAGGACGUCGGCGGUGGCUUCUCCGCCAUGUGGGAUUAUUGUUUGACCUUUCACAGUUACUUCAGGUGUCCAUAACAUCAAGCAUAAUUUUGGUGCUUCUUAACCUUUUGCAUUCUAUUCUAAUCCUAUGACAGAAGUUUUCUUAAUACUUUUAGUUAUGAAUUUUGUUUUGUGAUCUUCUUCCUGAUUCGAUGUGAUUAGCAUAAUACUAAAUUUGUUGGCUACUAAUUGAUACUUCUGUGUGAUACCUUUAGUGUGUGCUGACCGGAUUAAUCUAAAGUACCAAGAUUUGCUUGUUCAUUAUUUUCAUUCAAGCUAAUCGAAUGUUCAUUAUUUUGUGUCAAUACUGUACAAUAGAGAGCUGUCCAUGACAUGUAUGGGAGCAAGGGAACCGGAGGUACUAGAUGUAGGCACUAAUUGUAUUUAGAGUUCGGCUGCAACAAUCAAAUCUUUUAGGAUGGUACUAAUUAAUGUCUUGAUUAUUUUUUAUUCCAGUCAACAUCAGGUACAACCUUGACUAGGAGAUACCAUGAACAUAUCUUAGUCAAAUAAUUUAUGAGCGACUUGUACUGUUUACUUGAUCUUUGGUUCAGAAAAUAGAAUCUAGCUUCAGUCAAGUUAACCAUCAAUUUGUUUCAGGGUUAGUAUCUAUAAUUAUCCCAUGUUAAAAGAAAAUUGGUACUAUGAAUUAAGUGACACCAUGAAAUAAUCUGGAUCAAUAUAAGAAAGAAGAAUUACAAGUUUGUUAAAGAAUGGGGGAUUAGAAGUACAAAAGUAGUAAAUCAAUGAUGGCUUGCUCAUGUUGGUUAUAAUGUAAUCGAUUCCAUUGUGUGAGACAACAACCAAGAGCAGUUUAUUUUAUCAUUCUAAAAUAGUAUCACUUACACCAAACGUCAUUUUAGUAGCAUGUUCAUGUCAGAAUCUAAGAGUGUUAGGAACAUAGGGAGGAGAUGGCAAUUAUGGACAUUGGAGAGGAAUAAAUUUGAUCACAUAUUCUAUAUAGGGUCUUUUGUAGAUGCAUGUUAGCUGCAGAAGCACAUCCUUGUAUGACGAAAAUUCUCUUAGUACCAACAUGAAUAUGAUAGUUCGGUGCAAGACGGUGUUGAUCGACGGUGGUGGUCGUGGUCGAGGCAGCGGGAGGCGACUGCGAUGACUGAUAUGGUUACCAGCAUAUAAAAGGUAAGCGACGCCGCUGUUGGGUCUCUCUCGUCUCCUCCUGAUAUGGUUCAUGCACUAUUUGGUGCUUGCCUUGUUUGCUUGUCAUGGAAAUUUGUUUGUUGGAUAGACAAAAUAAUGUGUACAUAUCAUCGUAAUAAUCAUGGGUAUGUAUUUGUAUAAACUGUCAACUGCAAAUGGUUUGGUUCCUUUGAAAAGGACUGAAAAUAUCUUGCUAGAUAGUAAGGUGGACUAUCAAUGUUUUCAAUUAGAUGGGCAUAUUUAUCUGAUGGAGAUCAAUGACAUCAAGGACACACAGGCAGCUGCGAAGCAUCUCAUGGAUCAGCCGGUGAACAGAAGGAGCAAAGACGGCAUUUCCUGCAUCGUCGUAAACAUCCGUUGCUAGCAGAGGCUUCAACCUGUGAAUAGGAGGUGCAAAGAUGAAUCUCCUCCGUCAUCAUAAACU